rnacentral:sRNA from 1 species
ACUUUGCAGAGCUAUUUGCUCUUGGGGACAGAAGCUGACAGUGGCACUCACAGCACAGGCUUCUUAUGGGUCUAGCAGCCUCUGUGGCAUCUCCUGUCACAUUGGGAAAAUGAAGAAUUCCAGGACACGGGCUUGGAGGGCACCGGUGGAGCUAUUUCUUCUCUGUGCUGCCCUGGGCUGUCUCAGUUUGCCUGGCUCCAGAGGUGAAAGGCCAUAUUCCUUUGAGUCAAAUGCAGUCAACAAGAGCUUUGCUAAGAGCAGACAGACGCGGAGUGUGGAUGCUACCCUGAUGCCCAUUGAUUGUGAGCUGUCUAGUUGGUCCUCUUGGACCACAUGUGACCCCUGUCAGAAGAAAAGGGAUCAAGUCCAGGAUCAUGGUUUUCGAGGAUCCCUAUGACCGAAUCUAGCCUACAUUUCCAGCACAAUGGACCCUUUUAUGACUCUGGCCUUCACUCUCUCUGGGCGUUUCUUCAUGCUGCUUUCUCAGUACAGGUAUGCCUACUUGCUCCAGCCCUCUCAGUUCCAUGGGGAACCGUGCAACUU